UACAUCAUUUGCUCGUGCACCUGUUGUUGGGUUCUGGGAUUUGGAAAUUUUGGAUGAUGAUUUAAAGGGUGAAGCAGAGUAGAUUGAUGGGAGUGGUUUUAGAUUUGGGGAAAAGCUGCGGAAGAUGAAAGACUUUGUUAAGGAAAUGGAGAGCUGAAAGGGAAGCUGAUUUGUGAAGGCCAUUGGUGCCGGAAAUCUUGAA
rnacentral:misc_RNA from 1 species